ensembl:lncRNA
AUGGCCUUAAAACCGUCUAAUCUGUUGUUCCUGUUCUUUGUACUAAGUUUUUAUAUAAAAAUGGGUAUAACUGUCUGCUCUGACAGGAGUAAGAGUUUAGAGUGGUCUAUUGAAAUAAACUGCAUGCAGAUUUCUUUUUUAAACUGCAGCAAAGGCAGUUCAGCUGUAUCUGAUUGGCUCUACUUCAAGAUUUUCAACAUUCAGCAGGAGAAGAAUAUACAGCUGCAAAAACCAAAACAAAGCAAAAAACCUCCCAAACUGCACAUGCUGGAAUGGCAGCAAGCCCAGCUACAAGAGCUUACCAGAUCCACUCGCAACAGGUGCAAUAGAAAUUGGGUAUGAAAACUGUAAAAGAUAACCAGAGAGGGACUUGCAAGGACACUGGAGAAGAAGCCCUAACUUCUAUCACAGUGAUGCCUACAUACAUGGAGCCCAAAAGAAACACGGUAACUACAGCAGCUGAAAUCAUCUUCAUGGGAAAGGAAAGGAGGGCACCACAAAGGUCAAAGUGGUAUCCUGGCAGCCCGAACACUUGCACUGGCUUCUUCCUCUUGAACUCUAUCCAUAGGAGCUUUGCAAUGCCCGAGGCAGGAAGGAAAUCACUUGCUCCUGAUUUCCAGGAAGAGCACGAGGAAGGAGACAGCAGUGCCUGGAUAACCAGAUAGACAGCCAAAAAUGCCCCAAUUUCUUCCCUGUGCAUCUCUCAGACCCCAACCAAUAACAGGGCCAGGAUGAGAAGAUGUGCAGUCUUCAUACGUGUUUACCCCUUUCCUUUUCAUCCAGUCUUGUUUCUUUCUAUUUGUUUUCUUACCCUCAUCUCUGUGAGAACUCUUUGCACCCCCCUCAGGACUCCUUAUUUCUCAUUUCAAGUCUCUCAGCAGCUCCCAGAGCAUGGAUUUUUUUCUUCACAGGAGAAAACAAAAGGUCUAGCAUCCUUUCCCCUAUCUCUAAGCUAGGGCAUUCUGAAAGUGGCUGGCUCAGAUAAACAUGCAUUCAUCUCCAGUGCUCCCAGAUGCAUCUCAUACAGUGUUCUUCACGGGAGCAAGAUAAGACAGUUUUGUGCAGGAGAAGAAUAUCUGUAAAAGCAGCAUUAAGGACAAGAGGUCUGGUCACCAGCGGGGAAAGAGCGAUGGCUUAAAUUCUCAGCUUCCCUCAUAAAGGCUGUCCUCUCAUGAAUCAAAAGUGUGCUGGGAGAAGUUGACACAGCACUGCAGCACAAGAUACCUCUCAGGACCUGAAAGACCAGAACUGAAAGAUAACCUGGCCUCUCUCCUACCUGAGAGAGUUUUGGAUAGCCCAUGCUACACAUCUAAGCACUAUGUAGGGGUGGGGGGAUGUUGUGAGAGGAGAUUCUAUUUUAAAUGUCCAUGUGGCUCAGUGAGCCCUGCAUAAACACAGUGCAGGAAGAGGAUGCCAUAUGUCGCACACCCACGAGCCCUGAUCUCAAGGGAUUGCCUUACAGGAAGGAAAACACAUUCCAGCAAAAGCCUGAUCCUGGAUCCCUCUCUUUUACUGUUUCCUUUGCUUGGGGGUGUUUUCUGUCACAAGUAAUCAAGGCCACAGCACCCCUGCCAGUCAGGAGGGGUGUCCCGAGUCCCAGCAGCUGAUACUAAUGCUGCUUCAGCAAAAGGGCUGAAGAUCUUCACUUUGAGGCAGAAGGUGGUGGCUGUGGCUACAGAAGCCUGCAGAGGUGGAGGAAAAGGAAGCUCUGGGAGGAAUGUGAGCAUAAACGUCCCAGUGGGGGACUAAGGGAGAGGUCCUGGAGUCUGAAUGAUAUUCCUCUGCUUUUUCUUUUCUUUUCCCCACCAAAAAAUAAUAAAUAUGGCUAUUGUGGAGGAAUCCCCA